rnacentral:rRNA from 1 species
GUGGGGAAUAUUGGGCAAUGGGCGAAAGCCUGACCCAGCAACGCCGCGUGAGGGAAGAAGGUUUUCGGAUUGUAAACCUCUGUCCUUGGUGACGAACACAAUGACGGUAGCCAAGGAGGAAGCCCCGGCUAACUACGUGCCAGCAGCCGCGGUAAUACGUAGGGGGCAAGCGUUGUCCGGAAUGACUGGGCGUAAAGGGCGUGUAGGCGGCCGAUUAAGUCUGGAGUGAAAGUCCUGCUUUCAAGGUGGGAAUUGCUUUGGAGACUGGUUGGCUUGAGUGCGGAAGAGGCAAGUGGAAUUCCCAGUGUAGCGGUGAAAUGCGUAGAGAUUGGGAGGAACACCAGUGGCGAAGGCGACUUGCUGGGCCGUAACUGACGCUGAGGCGCGAAAGCGUGGGGAGCGAACAGGAUUAGAAACCCCUGUAGUCC